rnacentral:rRNA from 1 species
GUUAUAGGGUCAAGCGAACAAGUGCAUGUGGUGGAUGCCUUGGCGAUCACAGGCGAUGAAGGACGCGGUAGCCUGCGAAAAGCUACGGGGAGCUGGCAAACGAGCUUUGAUCCGUAGAUGUCCGAA